rnacentral:rRNA from 1 species
UACACAUGCAGUCGAGCGGGGAGGGUAGCUUGCUACCUGACCUAGCGGCGGACGGGUGAGUAAUGCUUAGGAAUCUGCCUAUUAGUGGGGGACAACAUUCCGAAAGGAAUGCUAAUACCGCAUACGCCCUACGGGGGAAAGCAGGGGAUCUUCGGACCUUGCGCUAAUAGAUGAGCCUAAGUCAGAUUAGCUAGUUGGUGGGGUAAAGGCCUACCAAGGCGACGAUCUGUAGCGGGUCUGAGAGGAUGAUCCGCCACACUGGGACUGAGACACGGCCCAGACUCCUACGGGAGGCAGCAGUGGGGAAUAUUGGACAAUGGGCGCAAGCCUGAUCCAGCCAUGCCGCGUGUGUGAAGAAGGCCUUUUGGUUGUAAAGCACUUUAAGCGAGGAGGAGGCUACUUGGAUUAAUACUCUAGGAUAGUGGACGUUACUCGCAGAAUAAGCACCGGCUAACUCUGUGCCAGCAGCCGCGUAAUACAGAGGGUGCGAGCGUUAAUCGGAUU